UUUCUUCUUCUCCUUUGAAACUCACGACCGAACACACACUUACACACAUUCGAAGAUCGUGGCCAUUUCAAGUUAGUUUCAAGUCGAUUUAAAAAUUUAAAGGUGAUUCCAUGGUGAUUGCAAAGAGGAAGAAGCUUGUUUUCAUCAAGAAUCUCAUCAUAAAACUCACUUUUGUUCUUGAAAGGUCUAGGAUGAGGCGGAGAAGACGAGGUGUUGCCAUUCAUCACCGCACGAUUAGAUUCUAUCCUGCAAAAUUAGAUUAUGAUGAAUAAAAGAUUGACAAAACUAAUACACAAAGCAUGGUUCGAGUAAAGAUCAAGACAUGAGCUUAGUCUAAUAUCGCUUGUUAGGAUCAUGUAUAAGACUUGUAAGAGCUCAAAUAAUCAAAAGCACAACGAAAAACUUCAAUAACUUUGAUUAAUAAAAACAACGGAUGUGUUCAACAG